rnacentral:SRP_RNA from 1 species
GUGUGGCACAGUGGGUGCCUGUGGUUUCAGUUACUCAAAGGCUGAGGUGUGAAGAUCACAUGAGCCUAGCUAUAGUGCUCCAUGCUGAUCGAUUGUCUGCACUAAACUUUGCUUCAAUGUAGUGACCUCCAGGGAGGUGGGGACCUCCAGGUUGCCUAAGGAGGGAUGAACCAGCCCAGGUCUGAAAUAGAGCAGGUCAAAACCCCUGGCCUGACCAGUAGUAGUAUUGAGCUGUGAAUAGCUAUUACACUCCAGCCUGGACAGUACAGCAAGAUCCCAUCGCU